rnacentral:rRNA from 1 species
CACGUGGAUAAUCUGCCCUAAGGUCUGGGAUAACACUUCGAAAGAGGUGCUAAUACCGGAUAAGCUCACGCCUUCUUCGGAAGAGGUGAGAAAAGAUUUAUUGCCUUAGGAUGAGUCCGCGGUCCAUUAGCUAGUUGGUGGGGUAACGGCCUACCAAGGCUGCGAUGGAUAGCUGGUCUGAGAGGAUGAUCAGCCACACUGGAACUGAGACACGGUCCAGACUCCUACGGGAGCAGCAGUGGGGAAUUUUGCGCAAUGGGGGAAACCCUGACGCAGCAACGCCGCGUGAAGGAUGAAGGCCCUUGGGUCGUAAACUUCU